CCUUCGGGAGGCUGCAGUGAGGAAUAUUGGUCAAUGGGCGCGACCCUGAACCAGCUAAGUAGCGUGAAGGAUGACUGCCCUACGGGUUGUAAACUUCUUUUAUAAAGGAAUAAAGUGAGGCACGUGUGCCUUUUUGUAUGUACUUUAUGAAUAAGGAUCGGCUAACGCCGUGCCAGCAGCCGCGGUAAUACGGAGGAUCCGAGCGUUAUCCGGAUUUAUUGGGUUGAAAGGGAGCUUAGAUGGGUUGUUAAGUCAGUUGUGAAAGUUUGCGGAUCAACCGUAAAAUUGCAAUUGAUACUGGCAGGCUUGAGUACAGUUGAGGGAGGCGGAAUUCGUGGUGUAGCGGUGAAAUGCGUAGAUAUCACGAAGAACUCCGAUUGCGAAGGCAGCUUACUAAACUGCCACUGACAUUGAUGCUCGAAAGUGUGGGUAUCAAACAGGAUUAGAGACCCGGGUAGUC
rnacentral:rRNA from 1 species